AAAUUCUUUUUCCUUGUUUUGUGCCGUAGUCCUUUCAGUUGGCAUCUCCUUCGUAAGCAGAUCACAGUUCAGUCUCCAUCCCAUCCCUGAGAGGAUAUUUGUAGUUGCAGAGGUUAGCAGCUAAGGCUUGAGAUAGAAAGGUAAUGAAGCAGAGGAGUUUGAUCGGAGAACUCAGUUGGUAUUUUGAAAGCGAAGUCGUGCUGAUAACGUGAUAUAAAACUAAAGGAAUUGAGAGAGAAUUUAAGAGAGUAUAGAUGUAGAGAAAGCCAUAAGAAUGU